GCUCUUACCUCAGAAGUUAAAAGAGGGCUGGUAGUAUAGCUCAGGGGUGUAGCACCUGCCUACCAUUGCCCAGAAUUGACUUGUGACCCCUAGAGGGAUUCAGAAACAGGGACCUACAGCCACCACAGCACUUGGGAUCAAGUUGCCCCUUGCCAGUCCAUUGUCCAUAGCAAGACUUAUCUUUCUAAAGUACAAAUUAGAUCAUAAUAAUUUUCUACCCAAAAAUUAUCAGUCCACUUCUGUUACUUGUUAGAUUCAUUCACUCACUUAUUGGCAUUAAUUAAUUAAUUAAUUAAAUGCUGGAAUAGAGUAGUUGAUUUUUUAAAAAAAUUACUUUAAAAAGCUCACAAUGUAGUGAAACAGAUUUUCAUGUAAUAAUAAGGUUUGUGAAACCUUGAAAUGAGGCUAAGUGUGGAAAUCUAGACUAUUCAUUGUAGUGUCUAAUGAGUAGGACCACCUCUUCCCAUCCUCCUCACUGGGGCUCUCCUUAAAAUACACAUUGUUCCCUGUGUGGAUGAUACCAAUUAGUCACCAACAGUUUUUGCCAGUUGUACUGUGGAAGUAAUGAUAUAUGUGGUAGAGACUCUUUGGGUUGCUUACCCUACAUCCUGUGAGCCACCUAAAUAAUGUACUCUGUAAUAUGUCGUAACCCAAUGGCCCGGGUUCUGAAAACUCCAUCAGGGUAUGUCGUGUGUGUGUGUGCAUGUGUGUAGUAAGCUUACAGUGUGUAUAUAAUUCCUAGAGGUUGCUUAUGAUGUUUUGUACAAUAUGAAAAGUAUUGAGAUACUUUGCCUUCAUAGUAUAAAUAACAAUUUUUGUUAUUGAUGCCAUAUGAAAUCACUGUAGCUAGCGAGAGCCCAGGGUGGAGUUUGAGUAUAUAGGAUUUAUUCUGAGAGUGCUUCAGGAAAGCAAGAGUAGAGAAGACUGGUGAGUGGGGUGAGCCUAAGCAAGCUUGUGUCUGAAUAGUCUAUAUUUAGCUUGAACUCAUGGGUAGCUCUGGAUAGGAAAGAGGAAGCAGACUUUCUUUUUUUUUUAUUAAUCAUUUUAUUUGUUUAUAUUUCAAAUGAUAUCCCCCUUUCUGGUUACCCCUCCACAUACCCCCCCCCCAUACCAUCCUCUUUUUUCCCCUUCCCGUUUGCCUCUAAUAAGGGUGCUCCUCCACCCACUCACCCACUUCCGUCUCUCCCUCUAGCAUCUCCCUACAUUGGGGCAUUAAGCCUCCUCCCCCCUCCCAUUGAUGUCAGAUAAUGCCAUCCUCUGCCACAUAUGUAUCUGGUGUCCUGGCUUCCUCCAUGUAUGCUCUUUAGUUGAUGUUUUAGUCCUUGGGAGCUCUGGGUGGUCAAGUUAGUUGAUAUUGUUCUUCCUACAGGGUUGCAAUUCCGUUCAGCUCCUCCAGUCCUUCCCCUAGCUUGUCCAUUAGGGUCCUGGGCACAGUCAGAUGGUUGGCUGUGAGUGUCUGCAUCUGUAUUGGUCAGGUGCUGGUAGAACCUCUCGGGGAAUGGCCUUACCAGGCUCCUGUCAGCAAGAGGGAAGCAGACUUUCAAUGCCCUUGUUAUUUGCUGGCUGAAGGCUGCUUGAACGGAGGUGAGGUAGAAAUAGAAAAUGGGGCAUGUAGUUAGAAAAUGGGGUAUCUCAUUAGAAAUCAGGGCAGCUGCUGCACCACGCUAGGGGACUUGGGGCUCAUGGUUCACAUCUGCAUCCUUUGCAAAUGCUCAUCAACUAUAGUAGUUAAGAUUAUUAAUUAUAGUAAUCUUGAUUAUUAAGAAUAUGUGAACGUUAUUUAUGAAUAUGCCAUUUUCGAUUUCUUGCUCCUCAUUGGAAGCUUUUCUUUUAAUAAGAUCCUUUGGGAAUCAAAUACAUGGAUAACUUUUUCUAGCCUAAAUUUGGCAAAACUUACCCAUGGAAUCAAUUCCCAAAGGAUCUUAUUAAAACUCAGAGUAAAACAUGUUGGUUUCUUUUUUUCCAAUCUCUCUCUCUCUCUCUCUCUCUCUCUCUCUCUCUCUCUCUCUCUCUCUCUCUCUCUCUCUCUCUCUCUCUCCAAUUGGACAAAGACUCUUUGAAUUUUCAAAUUAUUUGGGACCAAGUACAAGAAAUAGCACCUUCUGGCUUCACCCGCUGGAGAAAAGUGACUGCUUCCCCUAGUAACCAUUAGCUGCGUUCAGAUCCUCAGGGAGGGAGCGUGGGGCUUCGUGAGCUCCUCCCUUUCUCUGUGGCAAGCUAUGGAUGGGGCCAGUCCUGUGUCAGUCUUGUUCAUAUGAUGACAUCUGCUGUGAAUUCAAGAGUGUGAAGACCAUGUGGUAGCAGGCAGUCUGCCCUCCACAGUACUCCUUCUGGCCCUUCUGUUCUUUCUAUUCCCUCUUCCAUGAUGUCCUGAGUUUUAGAGGGGAUAAUAUCAAUGUUUAUUUAUAGCUGAGCAUUCAGCAGUCACUUAUUUUCAGCAUAUUGACCAAUUAAUGGUCCCUUCAGUAUUUAUCAGGCACGGU
rnacentral:lncRNA from 1 species